UCCCCGGAGGAUCUGGGACGUGGCAGAACAGUAAACCCCAGUCAUCAGAUGGGAAUCAGGCAGGUUUAUAUCAACCCUUAUACGGUACAAUCAUUGAUCACACACCCAUAGUAUUCAUUACUCUUUGUGGCAGGAGAACAUUCUGUUUGUCCUCAGAUCCGUCUCGAAGGACCCAAGUGGACUACACGACAGGUCACCGGAUACCGGACAACUACAAAGAUGGACAACAGUAGAAGACUUGUUGGAACCCUUUUGGACAAUCAGAGCCUUACAAGCGCGCCGCGAAAAGGCCCAACUCCCUUUCCAAGGUGGCCCUGUCCACCGAGAGAGAUCCGGCUAACCCAGACAUUUCACUCUUUAGGUCAUCAGGCUACUGAUUAUCCCGCACACCUGUCACCAUCGUCAUGCACACCAGCACCUCAUGACACUCACCUGGACUCCAUCACCUUGAUUAUCUUCCCUAUAUCUGUCACUCCCCUUGGUUCUU